UGCGAAGGGGGCUAGCGUUGCUCGGAAUCACUGGGCGUAAAGCGCACGUAGGCGGAUUGUUAAGUCAGGGGUGAAAUCCUGGAGCUCAACUCCAGAACUGCCUUUGAUACUGGCGAUCUCGAGUCCGGGAGAGGUGAGUGGAACUGCGAGUGUAGAGGUGAAAUUCGUAGAUAUCGCAAGAACACCAGUGGCGAAGGCGGCUCACUGGCCCGGUACUGACGCUGAGGGUGCGAAAGCGUGGGGGAG
rnacentral:rRNA from 1 species